UACGGAGGAGGCAAGCGUUAUCCGGGAUUAUUGGGCGUAAAGCGUCCGCAGGUGGCACUUCAAGUCUGUCGUCAAAGACUGGGGCUUAACCCUGGAAAGGCGGUGGAAACUGAAGCGCUAGAGUGCGGUAGGGGUAGAGGGAAUUCCCGGUGUAGCGGUGAAAUGCGUAGAGAUCGGGAAGAACAUCGGUGGCGAAAGCGCUCUACUGGACCGCAACUGACACUCAGGGACGAAAGCUAGGGGAGCGAAUGGG
rnacentral:rRNA from 1 species